rnacentral:lncRNA from 1 species
AUUGUCCUGAAACCAAGUGUCUUUGGACGACGUGAUACCAAAAUACUUUGCCGUUGUAUAAAACCUAGAAACGAGAAACACGUAAGAAAGAGAUCCACAAACAACACCACUAAUCAUCAGGAUCCUGACUUAGGACAAGUGCAAACAAAUACAUUGGGUUUUCAUUUUUAAAUAGGUACCGACCUUCAUCCUUUACUGAAACCAGAGUGUAACAUCACAUGUUUUUUUUUAAAACACUGCUACAGCCUUUUUAAAUAUAACUCUUGUAUUACAAUUGCUAUUUUUAAAAAUAAACUAUAUUUCAGGAACAAUCAGAAGAAUCUUAUGCAAAUGCUGUGGCAAAACACAACAACUCACUGCCGA